rnacentral:rRNA from 1 species
UGGUUGUAGUCUUUUUGUUUUUAUGCAUAUCGUACGGUAACACAAGGGAGCUUGCUCCUGAGGUGACGAGCGGCGGACGGGUGAGUAAUGCCUAGGUAUCUGCCCAGUCGAGGGGGAUAACAGUUGGAAACGACUGCUAAUACCGCAUACGCCCUACGGGGGAAAGGAGGGGACCUUCGGGCCUUCCGCGAUUGGAUGAACCUAGGUGGGAUUAGCUAGUUGGUGAGGUAAUGGCUCACCAAGGCGACGAUCCCUAGCUGGUCUGAGAGGAUGAUCAGCCACACUGGAACUGAGACACGGUCCAGACUCCUACGGGAGGCAGCAGUGGGGAAUAUUGCACAAUGGGCGAAAGCCUGAUGCAGCCAUGCCGCGUGUGUGAAGAAGGCCUUCGGGUUGUAAAGCACUUUCAGCGAGGAGGAAAGGUUAAGUCUUAAUACGGCUUAGCUGUGACGUUACUCGCAGAAGAAGCACCGGCUAACUUCGUGCCAGCAGCCGCGGUAAUACGAGGGGUGCAAGCGUUAAUCGGAAUUACUGGGCGUAAAGCGUACGCAGGCGGUUUGUUAAGCAAGAUGUGAAAGCCCCGGGCUCAACCUGGGAACUGCAUUUUGAACUGGCAAACUAGAGUCUUGUAGAGGGGGGUAGAAUUUCAGGUGUAGCGGUGAAAUGCGUAGAGAU